UAGGGAAUCUUCGGCAAUGGGGGCAACCCUGACCGAGCAACGCCGCGUGAGUGAAGAAGGUUUUCGGAUCGUAAAGCUCUGUUGUAAGAGAAGAACGAGUGUGAGAGUGGAAAGUUCACACUGUGACGGUAACUUACCAGAAAGGGACGGCUAACUACGUGCCAGCAGCCGCGGUAAUACGUAGGUCCCGAGCGUUAUCCGGAUUUAUUGGGCGUAAAGCGAGCGCAGGCGGUUAGAUAAGUCUGAAGUUAAAGGCUGUGGCUUAACCAUAGUACGCUUUGGAAACUGUUUAACNNNNNUGCAGAAAGGGAGAGUGGAAUUCCAUGUGUAGCGGUGAAAUGCGUAGAUAUAUGGAGGAACACCGGUGGCGAAAGCGGCUCUCUGGUCUGUAACUGACGCUGAGGCUCGAAAGCGUGGGGAGCAAACAGGAUUAGAUACCCUGGUAGUCCACGCCGUAAACGAUGAGUGCUAGGUGUUGGGUCCUUUCCGGGACUCAGUGCCGCAGCUAACGCAUUAAGCACUCCGCCUGGGGAGUACGACCGCAAGGUUG
rnacentral:rRNA from 1 species